GUUUUAGGAGGUCCACGGGCACCACGGCCCCGGGACAGCGCUUCUCCAGGAACUCUUGGAAGCCCUGGACACCCAUGCUUCGUCGAAAUUUGGAAUUGGACAAGAGAUACCAGCUUUUCUCUAAGUGUAAAGCUUGGAAGCUGUCAACCAAUUUUCCCACCAGAGGGACAGAAGUGAAAGAUGCUGGUCUGCAGAAAGAGAGAAAAAAUGCAGACUUUCAGAGAAGAACAAAGACAGUGAAACUGGGACCCAGAAGAUUAACAACUGGCGUCAUAUGCUGGGGCUAGAAUCCAGAUAUCCUGACUGUCAGCUCAGUGGGCUUUCCGUUGUACUCCAUCAUAAAUGCCAACUGCUGAGGUGGGCGCAUCACCUGAGGUCAGGAGUUCGAGACCUGCCUGGCCAACAUGAUGAAACCCCGUCUCUACUAAAAAUACAAAAAUUAGCCAGGCGUGGGGGUGUGCGCCUGUAAUCCCAGCUACUCGGAAGGCUGAGGCAAGAGAAUCGCUUGAACCUGGGAGGCGGAGGUUGCAGUGUACCGAGAUCACGCCAUUGUACUCCAGCCUGGGCAACAGAGCAAGACUCUGUCUCAAAGAAUAAUAAUAAUACAAUAAAAUAAAU